rnacentral:rRNA from 1 species
GAGUUUGAUCCUGGCUCAGAUUGAACGCUGGCGGCAUGCCUUACACAUGCAAGUCGAACGGCAGCAUGAUCUAGCUUGCUAGAUUGAUGGCGAGUGGCGAACGGGUGAGUAAUACAUCGGAACGUGCCCUGUAGUGGGGGAUAACUAGUCGAAAGAUUAGCUAAUACCGCAUACGACCUGAGGGUGAAAGUGGGGGACCGCAAGGCCUCAUGCUAUAGGAGCGGCCGAUGUCUGAUUAGCUAGUUGGUGGGGUAAAGGCCCACCAAGGCGACGAUCAGUAGCUGGUCUGAGAGGACGAUCAACCACACUGGGACUGAGACACGGCCCAGACUCCUACGGGAGGCAGCAGUGGGGAAUUUUGGACAAUGGGCGAAAGCCUGAUCCAGCAAUGCCGCGUGUGUGAAGAAGGCC